GGGGAUUUAGCUUAGUUGGUAAAGUGCUUGCUUCGAAUGCAUAAGGCCCUGGGUUCAAUCCCCAACAUCACCC
rfam:Ictidomys tridecemlineatus contig058599, whole genome shotgun sequence.